AAUAGUACCCGGGUAGUCCACGCCGUAAACGAUGAGUGCUAAGUGUUGGGGGGUUUCCGCCCCUCAGUGCUGCAGCUAACGCAUUAAGCACUCCGCCUGGGGAGUACGGCCGCAAGGCUGAAACUCAAAGGAAUUGACGGGGGCCCGCACAAGCGGUGGAGCAUGUGGUUUAAUUCGAAGCAACGCGAAGAACCUUACCAGGUCUUGACAUCCCGCUGCCCGGUAUAGAGAUAUAUCUUUCCCUUCGGGGACAGCGGUGACAGGUGGUGCAUGGUUGUCGUCAGCUCGUGUCGUGAGAUGUUGGGUUAAGUCCCGCAACGAGCGCAACCCUUGAUCUUAGUUGCCAGCAUUUAGUUGGGCACUCUAAGGUGACUGCCGGUGACAAACCGGAGGAGGUGGGGAUGACGUCAAAUCAUCAUGCCCCUUAUGACCUGGGCUACACACGUGCUACAAUGGAUGGUACAAAGGGCUGCAAGACCGCGAGGUUUAGCCAAUCCCGAUAAAACCAUUCUCAGUUCGGAUUGCAGGCUGCAACG
rnacentral:rRNA from 1 species